rnacentral:rRNA from 1 species
UGGGGAANAUUGCACAAUGGGCGAAAGCCUGAUGCAGCGACGCCGCGUGAGGGAUGACGGCCUUCGGGUUGUAAACCUCUUUCGCAGGGAAGAAGCGAAAGUGACGGUACCUGCAGAAGAAGCGCCGGCUAACUACGUGCCAGCAGCCGCGGUAAUACGUAGGGCGCAAGCGUUGUCCGGAAUUAUUGGGCGUAAAGAGCUCGUAGGCGGUUAGUCGCGUCUGCUGUGAAAACUCGAGGCUCAACCUCGGGCUUGCAGUGGGUACGGGCUGACUAGAUGCGGUAGGGGUGACUGGAAUUCCUGGUGUAGCGGUGGAAUGCGCAGAUAUCAGGAGGAACACCGAUGGCGAAGGCAGGUCACUGGGCCGCAACUGACGCUGAGGAGCGAAAGCAUGGGGA